UACGAAGGGGGCUAGCGUUGCUCGGAAUCACUGGGCGUAAAGCGCACGUAGGCGGCUUUCUAAGUCAGGGGUGAAAUCCUGGAGCUCAACUCCAGAACUGCCUUUGAUACUGGAGAGCUCGAGUCCGGAAGAGGUGAGUGGAACUGCGAGUGUAGAGGUGAAAUUCGUAGAUAUUCGGAGGAACACCAGUGGCGAAGGCGGCUCACUGGCUCGGUACUGACGCUGAGGUGCGAAAGCGUGGGGAGCAAACAGG
rnacentral:rRNA from 1 species